rnacentral:rRNA from 1 species
AACGGGGGGAGGCAAGUAUUAUCCGUCAUGACUGGGUGUAAAGGGUAAGUAGGUGGAUUUUGAACUUUUUUACAAAAAAAAAUAAAAAUCUAGGGUUUAAUAGAGGUUAACGGUACUCUUGAUGGAAGGGUAAAAUCUAAUGAUAUCAAAGUGGACCACCAAUAGGCGAAGGCGGUUAACCAUGUUAAAACUGACGCUGAGGUACUAAAGCGUAGGGAGCAAACAGG